GAUUCCGUAGUGUAGUGGUUAUCACGUCCGCCUAACACGCGGAAGGUCCCCGGUUCAAGCCCGGGCGGAAUCA